GAAUUUUAUACACGUAUAGUUAUGUUUAGAUCAAUUGUUAUCUUAUCUUAUCCAUCCGAUUCUUCACUACGAAUGCAAUUUUCUUCAUAUUCACUUAUGGAAUUUCGGAACAGUAUUAAAAACGAAUAUCCUGAUGUUAGCAACAAAGCUUUUUGGUAUAAUAAUACCGUUUGGCACAUCGUAUUUGUGUGAAACAGGUAAACUGCUUUCAACAGUAACCGUAUUAAAAUCAAUAUAUCGGUCCAGACUCAACGUGGAAAAAGAAAUGCGUGUUGCAGUAACUACGUUAAUUACUAAUUUUGAAAAAUUAAUAAACGAAAAACAAGCGCAUUGUUCGNUUAUUAAACAUUCAUUGCGGGAGGCGUGAACAAUUUUUAUUAUUAUUAGGGAGGCUUGAAUUAAAAAAGUUUGGGAACCGCUGCACUAGUUAAUACAUAAUUUAUUGUACUAGGUUUAAGAGCAUUAAGCGUUAAAUAAUUGCAUAGGCACAUUAUUUUUCUUUUACGUUGGUAACACCCCUAAUACAAAAAUUAUUGUAUCUCUAUCCUUAUCAAUUUUCUGACAACUAUCCUG